AGGGUUUUAGACAUAUACAAAUGAGUUGCAGCUAAAAGUGCUGUCGUAAAUGGUUCUGUAAUUUGCAGGGAACACCUCUGAAUCUCAUUUCGUCAAUCACCCGCGAAAAGCCAAAACCUUCUUACCUGGUGGAAGGUUAUCAGAGAAGAUCUUUGUCCAAUGGGUUGAAGAGAGUUAAUCUGGCAGCAAUUCCAAAAACCACCAUUUAAGGGAAGAAAACGAGAAUGUUAGCUUUUGAUUGGAUGAUUAGGGUAAACAAUGGAUUGAGAACUCAUUGUCCCUCAGGUAAUGAAGCAGCACUCUCUUCUGCAGCAAUUUGGGCGCGAUCUUUUCCUUUCAAAUCAGGAUUUGAACACCAAAUUUUGAGCGCAAUUUUUUCAUUUAAAAUUAGAGUUUAAAAUGACAUCCUCAAGCGCCUCUACCACACCGAAGAUGCCCCUCAAGAUAUGAUGGAGAUGAAGGUAGAAGUCGUGGCGAUGCUAAAGUCGCUGCACCGCUGGCGGCAUUCCUUCAUAACCCGUUGGCUGUGCAGGAGUUGAGGGCUAACAAGAAAGAAUUGCGAGUAGAAAAGUUGAAGGACAAAGAGGAAGUAGAGGACUUAACUCAGGAAAUGGCUGAGCUGUGGUAUCGAACUCUCAUCCCUAGACCUCAAGCUUCAUCUCUCCAACUCAAUUGGCAGGAAUGGAUCUUUGGUUGAUGGAUGGAAGUGGUCGAGGCCUAAUGGAGGGCAUGCAGGACUAACAUAAGCAAUGAAGACAUGAAAUAUUUAAACAAAACAAGAAAGGGAUUUCACUGUUGAGCAAUCUGCAAGGAUGAUUGAUGCAUACUGUAUGCUUAGCAAGUCUUUGUCUAGAGCAAUUUACAUGCUGGUGACAACGAGAUUGCUGCCUGUAUUUACAUGUGAUCUUAUAACUCGCUUCUAUGCCUCAACAUUUUUGUGUUGAAGAUUG